rnacentral:rRNA from 1 species
UACGUAGGGUGCAAGCGUUGUCCGGAAUUAUUGGGCGUAAAGAGCUCGUAGGCGGUCUGUCACGUCGGCUGUGAAAACUCGGGGCUCAACCCCGAGCCUGCAGUCGAUACGGGCAGACUAGAGUGCUGUAGGGGAGACUGGAAUUCCUGGUGUAGCGGUGAAAUGCGCAGAUAUCAGGAGGAACACCGGUGGCGAAGGCGGGUCUCUGGGCAGUAACUGACGCUGAGGAGCGAAAGCGUGGGGAGCAAACAGG